GUUCUCCAUGAGUCCUGUGGUUCCUGAGGGUAUCCAUCCAAGAGCUGUUCUCAUUAACAAAGCUUUGUGCUGUCCCCUGACUUCCCAGCCCGGCAAAAGUCACGGUGCAGUUCCUGUGAUUUUAUACGUAUGUGAUGGAGCUGUGUUGUCUCUGUGUAGAAGAGAAGCAUGGAAAAGCAAGUGGUGGUGCAGGCCCUCUGCUUAAGGCUGUUCGUGUUACGCGGAAUGGCUGGACAGAGGUCCUGGCGCACUGGAGACAUUUGGAGGAUGCCCUGUACGUGCCUCUCCGCCUCUUUUCGCCUUCUUAAACGUUGACUGUGAUGUUAAGUCGUUUGCCUGUGUCUGAAGGUUGGGUCUGUGCGUGCUGGGAUACCCCAGCAUAAGACUGCACCCCAUAAAGAGCCUUGUGGACUCGGGAAGAUAAUACUGAAAUCUCCUUCUUUGGAGGAUCCUGCCUCUCUGGAUGCUCCCAGGGUUGGGUCCAUUCUGGUGCUGCUGAACAGGUGUGCAGGAGGAUUAGAAAGAUGCUGACUUCUAGGAGGAUUGCAGGUCUGCUUUCCACCUGUGGCCUAGAAAAGGGGUAUUUCCAUUGCACAGAUUGAGGAGGGUGAUGCAGUCUGUCGUUGUAUGGGCAUCACACUGGCCCACCCUCCCUGCCUUAUGUUCAUGUCAUUAUAGAUGAUCACUGAGCAGAAAAGCCUUCCUCACAGCACUCAUCUGGCCAUCGCACUCUGUCCAUACCAGAGCACAGAUCUGAGGUAGCUCCAUCAACCUCUGCUAUGGAUCUGGCCACAGAGACUCCUUGCAGCACAGAAAGGCUUGGGCAUCAUCAGUGUCGGGCUGAUCUAACCCAUCUGGCCUGCUUCUCCUAAAUAAGCAUGGUAAUAGGUGUGCUGAGCACAGUAGCAUUUCACACCUGCCCAUGAUUGGGUUUAAAAAGAAAAAAAAAAUCUGCUGGGAACCGCUAUAUUAAUAUUACUAAGUUACUAUUGUGAAUGGCAAAUUUCUGUUCCUCUUGAUGUACCGUGCUGUGCUCAGAGACCUCCAGAAGGAUCACAAGCAGCUAUGACACGGAUUGCGGCAAAAAAAAAGUUGCUUCCUCUUUGCCAGGCCUGGCCUUGCUCUUUUGUGUCUGCUCAUGUUCUGCUUUGAUAUUACUGGCUAUUUCUGUUUAUUUUGUUCAUUUUAUUUAUUUAUUUAUUUUAUAUACAGUCAUCUGCCCUACCUUUUGGAGAGUGAUGUACAGAUGUCAGGCAGUAAAUCAAUAAAAGCAAUUAA
rnacentral:lncRNA from 1 species